ensembl:lncRNA
AAAAAAACACAAAACCAGAAUUCUGUGAAUGAAGCUAUUUUUUCCCAUCUAAAUGAAUAGAGUUCAUCAUAAGACUGUGUCAGGCCUUUACAACACUCCAGCUUUCUUGUAUUAUCUACUAUUUGUUACAUGGAGUUCUUGAGUUUCAGUUUUCCAAACAAUUCGCUAAGUACUUUCUCACCACUUGUCAUUGCUGGCUUAAAAAUUGGAUAAGAAGCAAAAGAAAUUCUGCUUUCAUGAACAAAUAAAUUAAAGAGAGGACUAAGGCAGCUUUCUGCAUUAUUUCUGGUGAGGAAGUAUGGGUGGCAGAUAAAUAAAAUAGUUUAUCUAUACUUGUAUUAAAACUUUGGCCACUACAUGUCUAUGUUAUCCAAAGCUUUUAUGUUUGUUAAACAGGGGUUUAACAAAAAGAAUUGCUUUGUUUUUCUGAGCAUAUUAAGGUUGUACUUGUACAAAUAAUGGAGGCUUUUAUCUACCUUUUUAUUGAUUUAGUUGCACACUGCCAUUAGAUAUACUUAUAAAUUGUUUUUUUUUUUAAACCAAUUUAAGUUCAGCUUAAGAAAACUGAUCAAAACAUAGUAAGAUAAUUUGAUUGCAUCACUGGAGCUAAUGUCUCCAAAUCAAUACUAUAUGUUAUUGUAGUAUACAUAUAUAUUAUAUAGAGAGAGUGGUAUAAUCCACUGUAAAGUGAGUCUGACUCUGUCUUUCUCUAUUUUUUGAACAGAAUUUCAUCUUAACAAUGAACAGGAAAAAAUUGCAUUGGAAGAAAAACAAGGAUGUUUUUUUGAAAUAGCUGGUAAAACACAAGGAAAUAGACAGUAGUUAAGUCAUUUGUUCAUACCAUGUAGGAGAUCUGUGGAAAAAAGAGCAAGACGUAAUCUUUAGAAAGAGAGUUUAUCUGUGAUCCUAGUCAGAGAAGAUGAAGCUGGACUUUCCUGUUCAGAGUACUCCUAGACAUCACCAGAAGUGUCAGCAAUAGGACAAAGACUUAUAUUCUGUACAGUACAAAAUGAAUGGAAGAUACACAAGAAUGCAUCAGUGCUUUGAGUUACAUGCCUAGGGCUGCAUCAUCUGGAGUAUAACUUAGAAAACUGCUUUUGCACUUGAGAUGGAUACCUAAUACUAUCCUGAAAUGACUGUGGUGGAAACUGUGUGAACAUUCCUCGGCUGUACCUGCAGGAGAAGGAAUGCAGAGAUGUUAAAUCUGCCAUAUUUAUAUCUGCUGUGAAAUACUGGCACGCUCUCGCGAUCAAACUAAAUAGUUUCUUUUUUCAAGUAUCAACAACUGAAAUUUUCCAGAUUCCCUUCUUCCAUAAUUCUCAUGGGUUUCAGAGUGAAUGGAUUGAUCUCUAAAUAUGCCUAUAUAUAGCUUACUUCUUCCAUACUGCAUUUUUGGAUUGUUACAUAAGUAGGCAUGUACAAAGCUUGUUGAUUUCUCCUGGUUUCUAUGAUGCCACCUAAGUCACAUGUACUGUAUUUUAGACAUGAAGAGAAAUACUGUAAUAUAACUACAAAGAAAACAAAGAUGACUUCUGA